rnacentral:rRNA from 1 species
GCCCAAAUUUGAAAUCGGGCAACCGAGUUGUAAUUUGGAGACGGGACACUAGAGAGGAGGAAGGCGAUUAAGUGCCUUGGAACAGGCUGCCGUAGAGGGUGAGAGCCCCGUGAAUCGCUGGAGACCGAUCAAUUAGUGCCCGCCGAAGAGUCGAGUUGUUUGGGAAUGCAGCUCUAAGUGGGUGGUAUAUUCCAUCUAAGGCUAAAUAUUAGCGAGAGACCGAUAGCAAACAAGUACAGUGAUGGAAAGAUGAAAAGAACUUUGGAAAGAGAGUGAAAUAGUACGUGAAAUUGUUGAAAGGGAAGGGUAUUUGAUCCGACAUGGUGUUUAGCAGCGGCCCGUUCCUCGUGGAUGGGUGCACCUGGUUUACACUGGGCCAGCAUCGGUUCUGGGAGCCAUAUACGGGGUUCGUGAAUGUGGCCCUUCGAUUCUGUCGGAGGGUGUUAUAGCGCGGGCAUCUUGUGGCUAGCCGGGACCGGGGACUGCGGUGACUUGUCACCAAGGAUGCUGGCAGAACGAGCAAAUACCACCCGUCUUGAAACACAGACC